rnacentral:lncRNA from 1 species
GUUCUGAAUGACUGAGUUGAAUGCAGAAAUGUUUUCAGAGAAUAAAUGCUUUUUUUGUAUGUAACAGGAGUAAGUACAGUCCUCUAAGGUGAAGUGUGGGGGGAAAUGAAAUGUUGGAGGCAUUUUGCAGGUAACCCUGAACUGUUUAAGACAUGAACUAGCAUUCAGCUAGCCAUGUGUUCUACUUUUCUUCUGCCUUUAUACGUCAGUAUUUUAGUAGCAACUUUGUUCAUACUGGUUUGCUAAGAAAAAGAAAAAAACCAAACAAAAAAGUUAUUUGUUCCUAAGCCACUCCCUCACCUUUCAGCUUUGAAUAAAUAUCUUAAGCACAAACUUAGCAUCUGUACUCAUAUGCACUUGUUCCUUUAAAUCUCAAGGCUUGUAAGGAUUUAGGGAAACUCAAAUCUAGUAACACUGAUGUUAUUUGCCUUCACCUCUAUUUCUCAUUUGGCAGCGCACAAACUCCAUUCAGCCGAAGUAGACUUUGUUCUCUGAAGUUAAUGCAACUUUGCCCCCCUUACCCCAAUAUGCCCCAUAGCAGCCAGUGAUGUACAGAAAUCAAAGUCCUACCUGUGGUAUUGCACAAACAUUUGUGGGUACAAUAUUAGCUUAGCAGCUUGAUGUACUGCAGAAAUAGGUACAUGUGUAGAACUGGAGGUUUCAUACCUUCCCAGAAAAUACAGGUGUAAGCACCUGAAAUGGUUGGUGUUCAAUACACUUGUAUUAAGAAUUUCAACAACACUGAUUUUUAUGUAUUUACUUACAGUGCUACUGGAUAGAAGCCUGAACAGGGUUUUGGAGAAUUUUCUUGUUACAUUAAUCCGCUGUGAUUUCUUUUUCUUUAGCAGUCUGUUCAAUAGGGACUGCAUUAGUUCAAAGAUCUAUAAACAGUUCUUUAAGAUUUAGAAUAAGAACUACACAUAUUUGGCACAAGUAGUCAAGAGGAAGGAGUGCGUGUGUGCGAGGAAUGUUCUGAAACAUAAUGAACUACUUCAGUAAGUAUUAACUUGUUACACUUUUGGUUGGGGCAAGUGCAAUAUGUGUUUAAUUUAUAUGAAUUUUCUAAAGAAACUUAUUUCACAGUAUUUUGCACUGUAACAAAAUAUGCUGGAGAAACCUGUAAAACUGGUAUGUCUUUUUAUACCUUGGAGGUAUGUUGGAUGUUUUAGUGCCUACUUGCACUGAAAUUCAAAUUGAAUGUUAAAUCUAUCUACUAAGCUGCAUAUGCACAACAACUCACAACAAAGACCAUUUACACCUUUGUACAGUCAUCUGUAAUUACUGUAUAUAAAAUUGAGGGAAUAAAUUUUUUAAAAAUUU